rnacentral:tRNA from 1 species
GGCGAAUAUAACUCAGUUGGUUAGAGUGUCAGGUUGUGGCUCUGAAAGGCACGGGUUCAAGUCCCGUUAUUCGCC